AGCGAACAUUGGCGGUAGGCUUAACACAUGCAAGUCGAGCGAGGCGUAAUAGUCGAGCGGCGAACGGGUGAGUAAUACUUGGGAAUCUGCCCUGAAGUGGGGAUAACGUCCAGAAAUGGACGCUAAUACCGCAUAAUCCAUAUCGGGAAAGCGCGCUGCGCUUUAGGAUGAGCCCAAGUCUGAUUAGCUAGUUGGCGGGGUAAAGGCCCACCAAGGCGACGAUCAGUAGCUGGUCUGAGAGGAUGAUCAGCCACACUGGAACUGAGACACGGUCCAGACUCCUACGGGAGGCAGCAGUGGGGAAUCUUGCGCAAUGGACGAAAGUCUGACGCAGCGACGCCGCGUGAGUGAUGAAGGCCUUCGGGUUGUAAAGCUCUGUGGAGAGGGACGAAUAAGUGUCGUCGAAUAGACGGCAUGAUGACGGUACCUUUUUAGUCAAGCACCGGCUAACUCUGUGCCAGCAGCCGCGGUAA
rnacentral:rRNA from 1 species